rnacentral:rRNA from 1 species
GACGAACGCUGGCGGCGUGCUUAACACAUGCAAGUCGAACGGAGUGGCGAACGGGUGAGUAACACGUGGGUGAUCUGCCUUGCACUUCGGGAUAAGCUUGGGAAACUGGUUCUAAUACCGGAUAGUGCAAGAUGAGCUCGCGGCCUAUCCGCUGGUUGGUGGGGUAAUGGCCUACCCAGGCGUCGACGGGUAGCCGGCCUGAGAGGGUGUACGGCCACAUGGGGACUGAGAUACGGACCAGACUCCGACGGGAGGCAGUAGUGGGGAAUAUUGCGCAAUGGGCGGAAGCCUGAUGCAGAGACGCCGCGUGGGGGAUGAAGGCCAUCGGGUUGUAAACUCCUUUAGACAGGGACGCGUUACCUGUAUAAGAAGCACCGGCUAACUACGUGCCAGCAGCCGCGGUAAUUC